CCCAGACAGCCAGGAUGUUGGCUUAGAAGCAGCCAUCAUUUAAAGAAAGCGUAAUAGCUCACUGGUCGAGUCGGCCUGCGCGGAAGAUGUAACGGGGCUAAACCAUGCACCGAAGCUGCGGCAGCGACGCUGAUGCGUUGUUGGGUAGGGGAGCGUUCUGUAAGCCUGUGAAGGUGUGUCGUGAGGCAUGCUGGAGGUAUCAGAAGUGCGAAUGCUGACAUAAGUAACGAUAAAGCGGGUGAAAAGCCCGCUCGCCGGAAGACCAAGGGUUCCUGUCCAACGUUAAUCGGGGCAGGGUGAGUCGACCCCUAAGGCGAGGCCGAAAGGCGUAGUCGAUGGGAAACGGGUUAAUAUUCCCGUACUUGGUGUUACUGCGAAGGGGGGACGGAGAAGGCUAUGUUGGCCGGGCGACGGUUGUCCCGGUUUAAGCGUGUAGGUGUGUGUUCCAGGUAAAUCCGGUUCACUUUAACACUGAGGCGUGACGACGAGGCACUACGGUGCUGAAGCAACAAAUGCCCUGCUUCCAGGAAAAGCCUCUAAGCAUCAGGUAACACGAAAUCGUACCCCAAACCGACACAGGUGGUCAGGUAGAGAAUACCAAGGCGCUUGAGAGAACUCGGGUGAAGGAACUAGGCAAAAUGGUGCCGUAACUUCGGGAGAAGGCACGCUGACACGUAGGUGAAGUGAUUUACUCAUGGAGCUGAAGUCAGUCGAAGAUACCAGCUGGCUGCAACUGUUUAUUAAAAACACAGCACUGUGCAAACACGAAAGUGGACGUAUACGGUGUGACGCCUGCCCGGUGCCGGAAGGUUAAUUGAUGGGG
rnacentral:rRNA from 1 species